CCCGGGAGGCGGAGCUUGCAGUGAGCUGAGAGCCGGCCACUGCACUUCAGCCUGGGCGGCAGAGCAAGACUCCGUCUCAAAAAAAAAAAAAAAAAAAAGAGAUACUGGGAGUCAAAUCUAUCCACUGUACACCCACCCCACUCUCAUUCUAAGGGCUUCGGGGACAGCCUUCUGACCACUUACAUUCCUGCAGAUGUGAAGAUGGCAGAGAUCUAACUUCUCAGGGCAGAGCUGUCAAGUGACGGUCCCCUUAGAGGAAUGGUCUUUGCAUCUGACUACUUCCUCCUGCAACUGUGUUCUUCCAUUGGCUUCUAUGACACUCUCUUGCUUUAUUUUUUUCUACAUCUCUAGCCUUUGCUGUGUCCUCUCCUACCCCACCUUUAGAUUUUACUCAGAGUUCAGUUUCCAACUCUACAAUCUGAGGGACUCCUUAACCAGGUCCUCUUCCUAACCCUCCAGUCCCAAGUCCAAGAUUCUUUAACCAUACUCUAAAAGUUCUUCAGACUCAGGACUUAAACGUCAUAGCCACACCACCUUGGCCUUCAAUGACAGGGAUCUAGCAAUGCCACAUCAUUGACCUUCCAAUACCAGGUUUAAGAGUUUUUAAACACAGCCCCUCUUAAAUCGUCCAAUCUCAGUACCCAGUGUUUUAGCCAUGCUCGGGUGGCUAAAUUACAUCCAGGAAUAGUGCUAGGGCCUUUAGCCAUUUGUCUCUCCUCACACUCCCAGGGCCCAUAUGGCCCAGGUUCUGACAGUUUACCUUACUCCCUUGGCCUGGGGCUGGCCCUAACUGACACCCUAUGUCAAUGAGUGUACCUUGGAGAGCUGUCCACUCAGGCCCCAGUGCCUUUAUUUGCUAAGAGACUGCCACAGAAAAGAAGGGGAAAGAUGUUUGUGUAACCUCAAAAUACUUAGGCUUGGUUUUGAUGCUGGAGAGGAAGAAAGACUUGGAGAGAGAAGGAAUGGCUGAUCCAGAGGCUUUUGUCCACUCCCUCUCACUGGAAGUGGUUGAUCUCCAGGGAAUCCCCAAGGUUAGCCUGGUUAGGGGAAGGGCUAGGGGUACCUGGAAUGUAGGAUCUCCCCACUGCCUGGCCUACCACCCUAAUGCCCAUUUCCCAUGGCCUGAGCUAAAAGCCACAGGAAGUGUCCAUGGCCUGAACUAAAAGCCACAGAAAGUGUGCGUAUGUGUGUGUGCAGGGGUUGCUGUGCAGGGGAAGGGUGGGACACCAUCAUUCCACAAGACCUCGAAGUUACUUCUCCCAUAGAAAAACAAAAGUGGAAAAAUUAACGAUCAAACAACUACUUUAAAUAUGAGGGGGAGAAAAAAAGUGUUCAUUUUCUAUUAAAAUCCAUGUAGGCACUGUAGAGACACCGCACAGGUCUGGUCCGGCAGGAGGACUGUCAGGUCCAGGCAGUCACAGGAAGAGAUUGUAAGAUGCAAUAAGUCUUUCUGAAUUUCUCUUCAAAGGGUUUAGCCUGUUAACUUCCUUAUCCUUGUUCUCAAACUCAACUUUCUUGUUCUUCCUUGCCUCUAGUUACCAUAAACAGCCUACGCGCCUUCCUGUCAGCUCUAAUCAAUAACUCACAUCUGUUCCCUUGGUUACCUGUACCCAUUGUUCCUCUGAAACUACACACUACACCUCUGUACCUCAUGUCCCCCUCCCCUUCUAUAUUUAGGAAAAUAUGUACAAGUGGCCAGUUGGGUCAGCUCAGAUUGUGCGGUCCAACCCCAGCCCAUGGGGGAGUGACACAGAGAUAGGGACUGUGUUAAGGAUAAAAAACCCCUGGUCUCUCUCUCUUAUGUGCUCGUGUGAUCUUAAUUGACACAGGUGGCACCCUUCUGUAGAAGUAAAUUACCUUGCUGAGAGAAUUAAACUUUUGCCUGAGUGCUGGUUUUACUUCAUGGCACCGAGCAUUUAUUCCUGGAGCAUUUGAUAUCCAGCAAUUCUAGGGGCUCAUCCGGGAUCCCCAUUCUCCUUUGGGAAGGGGUCUUCCGUCAACCUACCCAGGGGAGACACAACCCACUGCCCUGUUGCCGUGGCCUCAGGAACAAGAGAUUGAGACCCACCUGUUGUGACGAAUAAACCUGGAGAGACUGUCAACAACGCGGGGAAGAAAGACUUGCAAUACUGCGGUGACCAGAACUCACAAUUUUCCAGUACAGGCAUCACCCCUAGAGUUUCCAGUACCUCGACACCAGCCUGAGGAGCUGGCCUAGGGCCUCUAACCACUGAAACUGCAGUCCAAACAGCAAGAAAAGAUGGACCAAUCACACCUGAGUCAAGAAAGCACCGCCAUUCCUGAAGUCGUGGGCCAUUAUCCAAGGGAAAAAAAACCCUCAAACCUAAGGAUUCCACAGCCUGGGCCAACAAAUCAUGCCAAGCGCUCUCUCUGCUAUAUCCCAAAGUCCAACACCCUGUGGGUCAGCCGCUGAGGACCAUCCAGCUUCCGUCUCCCAAUGUCAACUUCACCUCAUGUCUUUCACAACAGGGGGAGAAUUUGGCAUUCCUUGGAAGCUUAACGGGACGCAGUGAACUUAAGCCCUUCCAAGAGCUUACCCAUCAGUCUGCUCUUAGUCAUCCUCCAGCUGAUGUAUGGUGGUAUUGUGGUGGACCCUUACUGGACACUGCUAAGUAACUGGAGCAGUACUUAUGCUCUUGUCCAAUUGGCUAUCCCUUUCACCCUGUCAUUUCAUCAACCAGAGAAAGAAAAACCACAACACCAAAAAAUAAGAGAAGCCCUUAUCAGUCUUUUGACUUUCAAGUUUACAUAGAUGUCAUUGGAGUCCCACAGGGAGUGCCUGAUAGGUUCAAAGCCCGAGACCAAAUAGCUGCAGGAUUUGAAUCCAUAUUUCCAUGGGUAACUAUUAAUAAAAAUUUAGCUUGGAUAAAUUACAUCUAUUAUAACCAGCAGUGGUUUAUUAAUUACACCAGGGAUGCUAUCAAAGGAAUAGCUGACCAAUUUAUUAUCGGUUAUUAGCCGAAAAAGGUGGAGUCUGUGUUAUGAUUAAAACCCAAUGUUGUACCUUCAUCCCAAACAACACUGCCCCCGAUGGGAGCAUAACAAAGGCCUUGCAGAGACUUACCACUUUAUCCAAUGAAUUAGCUAAAAAUUCUGGAGUCAAUGACCCCAUUUGAGGAUGACUAGGAAAGUGGUUUGGUAAAUGGAAAGGAAUCAUGGUCUCAGUUCUUAUUUCCCUUGCAGUUGUAGUAGGCGUCCUGAUUCUCAUUGGGUGUUGUGUCAUACCAUGCAUCCGUGGGCUAAUACAAAGAAUUGUACAAACAGCACUUACUAAAGCCUCCAUUCAUUCUCCUCUACCUUAUUCAAGUAAGCUUUUCCUUUUAGAUCAAAUCAAAUGGCAAAGCCAAGACAUGUUUAAAAAGUUUGAAGAGAAAGGAUCAUAAGAAAAUUAAAAGGGAGGAAUUGUAAGAUGCAAUAAAUCUUUCUGAUUUUCUCUUCAAAGGGUUUAGCCUGUUAACUUCCUUAUCCUUGUUCUCAAAUUCAACUUUCUUGUUCUUCCUUGCCCCUAGUUACUGUAAACAGCCUACGCACCUUCCCAUCAGCUCUAAUCAAUAACUCACAUCUGUUCCCUUGGUUACCUGUAUCCUUUCUUUCCCUGAAACUGCACGUCUUACAUGCUCCACCUCUGUACCUCACGUCCCCCUCCCCUUUUAUAUUUAGGAAAAUAUGUACAAGUAGCCCAUCGGGUCAGCUCAGACCAGUCCGGCCACAACCCAUGGGGGAGUGACACAGAGAUAGGGACUGUGUUAAAGAUAAAACCCCCUUGGUUUCCCUUGUUCUGUGUGCUCUUGUGAUCUUGAUUUACACACGUGGCACCCUUUUGCAGAAGUAAAUUGCCUUGCUGAGAAAAUUUGCCUGAGUGCUGGUUUUACUUCGUGGCACCGAGCAUUUAUCCCCAGAGCAUUUUAUAUCCAACAAGAUGCAGAGGGGACCUCUGUCCAGGCCAGGGCCGAUGGCUUUGGGUGCCUUCUAGUCAAGAAUCACCCCUUCCUUUGUCUCUUUGAAAAGAGGAUGAAACCAGGGCUGUAAUGGCCUCAUCUCUGCAGUAACAAGCUCGAGAUGUUGUGAGAUCUUCACAAUAAAGGGUUGCAGGUGAAGGAGGAGGUGGGGAAAGGAGUAGCUGAGUCUCUGGUGUAGGGGCUGACAGCUCAUUUCUGAAGGAUGAUAGUGUAGCAGGAUGAGCUGCAGACAAAACUCUUCAGACACCGAGUUAAAGAAGGAAGGGGUUUAUUCGGC